rnacentral:rRNA from 2 species
UCGGUGGGGUAACCUUUUUGGAGCCAGCCGCCUAAGGUGGGACAGAUGAUUGGGGUGAAGUCGUAACAAGGUAGCCGUAUCGGAAGGUGCGGCUGGAUCACCUCCUUUCUAUGGAGA